rnacentral:piRNA from 3 species
UGAAUCGAAUGGAUUGCAAAUGGGG